rnacentral:ncRNA from 1 species
CUGGUUGAUUCUGCCAGUAGUCAUAUGCUUGUCUCAAAGAUUAAGCCAUGCAUGUCUAAGUAUAAGCAAUCUAUACGGUGAAACUGCGAAUGGCUCAUUAAAUCAGUUAUCGUUUAUUUGAUAGUACCUUACUACUUGGAUACCCGUGGUAAUUCUAGAGCUAAUACAUGCUGAAAGCCUCGACUUCGGAAGGGGUGUAUUUAUUAGAUAAAAAACCAAUGCCCUUCGGGGCUCCUUGGUGAUUCAUAAUAACUUGUCGAAUCGCAUGGCCUUGCGCCGGCGAUGGUUCAUUCAAAUUUCUGCCCUAUCAACUUUCGAUGGUAGGAUAGUGGCCUACCAUGGUGGCAACGGGUAACGGGGAAUUAGGGUUCGAUUCCGGAGAGGGAGCCUGAGAGACGGCUACCACAUCUAAGGAAGGCAGCAGGCGCGCAAAUUACCCAAUCCCGAUACGGGGAGGUAGUGACAAUAAAUACUGAUACAGGGCUCUUUCGGGUCUUGUAAUUGGAAUGAGUACAAUCUAAAUCCCUUAACGAGGAACAAUUGGAGGGCAAGUCUGGUGCCAGCAGCCGCGGUAAUUCCAGCUCCAAUAGCGUAUAUU